AUGGAGAGUGUCAACAAGUCGGAUUCAUUUGGCAUCAUUGGACAAAUACUUUGCUCGCAACAAACAAAUAUAUUCAAAUAUAUACCUGGACACAAACGCUGUUACCUAAAAGGCAAACAAGACAAGGUUGACCGAAGGAGUCUCGACUUUAUGGCCUAACUUGUGACUCUAAAUCACGCUGCAAAGGUCUCUCUGUCACAUCCACUGUAAAUAUCAGGAGAACCUUGGCUUCUCCAGGGCCCUUAAUACGUGGCUGUUCACAUAAUGUUUAUGCUAACAUAACCUAACCAGCUGGGUCUCAUGUAAUCAUUUAACAGUAUGUAAUAGUAAAUGUCUGCUGGAUACAGAACAGCAGCUGUUAACUUUUGUCUUGUUUGUAUUUAAAUAUAGGUCCAGCUUUUCAUGACAUUAAAAUUGUGGCUUUAUUGAUUUGUUAUGUUUGGUGCAAAUCUUGUCGAUUGUUGCAGUUAUUUAAACACUCACUUCCUGUGCGGACGCUGCUUGCAAUAGGGUUGUCAUUCUUUUGACUUGCAACACAUACUGUACGACUCACAGUCAUAUUUCCUAAGAAGGGACCGUGAAUAAUUGAAAACUCACGUGUCCU